AUACGUAGGGGGCGAGCGUUGUCCGGAAUGAUUGGGCGUAAAGGGCGCGUAGGCGGCGCGGUAAGUCUGGAGUGAAAGUCCUGCUUUCAAGGUGGGAAUUGCUUUGGAUACUGCCGCGCUUGAGUGCAGGAGAGGUUAUCGGAAUUCCCGGUGUAGCGGUGAAAUGCGUAGAGAUCGGGAGGAACACCAGUGGCGAAGGCGGGUAACUGGACUGCAACUGACGCUGAGGCGCGAAAGUGUGGGGAGCAAACAGGAUUAGAUACCCUGGUAGUCCACACUAUAAACGAUGAAUGCUAGGUGUAAGAGGUAUCGACCCCUUUUGUGCCGGAGUCAACACAAUAAGCAUUCCGCCUGGGGAGUACGGCCGCAAGGUUGAAACUCAAAGGAAUUGACGGGG
rnacentral:rRNA from 1 species